rnacentral:rRNA from 1 species
CCUACGGGGGACAGCAGUGAGGAAUAUUGGUCAAUGGGCGCGAGCCUGAACCAGCCAAGUAGCGUGAAGGAUGACUGCCCUACGGGUUGUAAACUUCUUUUAUAAAGGAAUAAAGUGAGGCACGUGUGCCUUUUUGUAUGUACUUUAUGAAUAAGCAUCGGCUAACUCCGUGCCAGCAGCCGCGGUAAUACGGAGGAUCCGAGCGUUAUCCGGAUUUAUUGGGUUUAAAGGGAGCGUAGAUGGGUUGUUAAGUCAGUUGUGAAAGUUUGCGGCUCAACCGUAAAAUUGCAAUUGAAACUGGCAGCCUUGAGUACAGUUGAGGUAGGCGGAAUUCGUGGUGUAGCGGUGAAAUGCUUAGAUAUCACGAAGAACUCCGAUUGCGAAGGCAGCUUACUAAACUGCCACUGACAUUGAUGCUCGAAAGUGUGGGUAUCGAACAGGAUUAGAUACCCCAGUAGUC